rnacentral:rRNA from 1 species
GAGUUUGAUCAUGGCUCAGGACGAACGCUGGCGGCGUGCUUAACACAUGCAAGUCGAACGGUGACGCUCUCUUCGGAGAGCUGAUCAGUGGCGAACGGGUGAGUAACACGUGGGCAACCUGCCCUCAGCUUCGGGAUAAGCCUGGGAAACCGGGUCUAAUACCGAAUACUCACGCUCGGCCGCAUGGCUGAGCGUGGAAAGGGUUUCUGGCUGAGGAUGGGCCCGCGGCCUAUCAGCUUGUUGGUGGGGUAACGGCCUACCAAGGCGACGACGGGUAGCCGGCCUGAGAGGGUGAUCGGCCACACUGGGACUGAGACACGGCCCAGACUCCUGCGGGAGGCAGCAGUGGGGAAUAUUGCGCAAUGGGCGAAAGCCUGACGCAGCAACGCUGCGUGAGGGAUGGCGGCCUUCGGGUUGUAAACCUCUUUCAGCUCCGACGAAGCCUCAUCUACUGAUGGGGUGACUGUAGGAGAAGAAGAAGCACCGGCUAACUACGUGCCAGCAGCCGCGGUAAUACGUAGGGUGCGAGCGUUGUCCGGAUUUAUUGGGCGUAAAGGGCUCGUAGGCGGCUGUUGCGUCUGCCGUGAAAUGCUGAGGCUUAACCUCGGACGUGCGGCGGAUACGGGCAGGCUAGAGUCCGGUUGGGGAGACUGGAAUUCCUGGUGUAGCGGUGGAAUGCACAGAUAUCAGAGGAACACCGGUGGCGAAAGCGGGUCUCUGGGCCGGUACUGACGCUGAGGAGCGAAAGCGUGGGGAGCGAACAGGAUUAGAUACCCUGGUAGUCCACGCUGUAAACGUUGGGCGCUAGGUGUGGGGCACUUUCCACGUGUUCUGUGCCGUAGCUAACGCAUUAAGCGCCCCGCCUGGGGAGUACGGCCGCAAGGCUAAAACUCAAAGGAAUUGACGGGGGCCCGCACAAGCGGCGGAGCAUGCGGAUUAAUUCGAUGCAACGCGAAGAACCUUACCUGGGCUUGACAUACAUGGUGCACCGGUAGAGAUAUCGGGUCCGUAAGGGCCAUGUACAGGUGGUGCAUGGCUGUCGUCAGCUCGUGUCGUGAGAUGUUGGGUUAAGUCCCGCAACGAGCGCAACCCUCGUUCCAUGUUGCCAGCACGUAAUGGUGGGGACUCAUGGGAGACUGCCGGGGUCAACUCGGAGGAAGGUGGGGAUGACGUCAAGUCAUCAUGCCCCUUAUGUCCAGGGCUUCACGCAUGCUACAAUGGCCGGUACAAAGGGUGGCGAUACCGCAAGGUGGAGCGAAUCCCAAAAAGCCGGUCUCAGUUCGGAUCGGGGUCUGCAACUCGACCCCGUGAAGUCGGAGUCGCUAGUAAUCGCAGAUCAGCAACGCUGCGGUGAAUACGUUCCCGGGCCUUGUACACACCGCCCGUCACGUCACGAAAGUUGGUAACACCCGAAGCCCGUGGCCUAACCGGUUCGCCGGAGGGAGCGGUCGAAGGUGGGACCAGCGAUUGGGACGAAGUCGUAACAAGGUAGCCGUACCGGAAGGUGCGGCUGGAUCACCUCCUU